GCAAUUUAUGACAAACUAUGGUUAAUUUGCCUAUUAAGAAUUUGGGAAUACAAUCUAGAUGUUACACCUAGGUAUCUUAGGUAUCACAUCUAAGAACUGGUAAGCGACAAAUUUAAGGAUUUGAUUGCAUUGCAUAACUAUAAAAUUGAGAAAGUUGCCAAAGAACGUUUUGUAUUGAAUAAAUGAACUUUAUCAAAAGCAAGAUUAUGAAGGCAUCUAUGACACUUCCUCGCAAACCUUUUUCGGAUGAAAAUAGACUCAAAGGGUGUCUGAGAUUUCUUAUUUGAUACUUAUAAGUAGCUUAAGCAUUCUUGUUCUAAUAUUCGCAUUUGAUAACAUAAAAAGCAUAAUGCUUAUUAGGUGACUGUGAAAGGUAGAAAAAUAAGUACCGUAAUGUUCACAAGUUGCAUGGAGGGCCACAAGUCAUAGUAUCAUACAAGGAUCCCUUGUUCACAAGUCUCUUAUGAAAAGAAUUUAUGAAAGCAGCUGGAACCAACCUUCAUUUCAGCAUUGCUUACCAUCCUUAAACAGAUGGUCAGACCAAACAGCUUAAUCAAUGCCUGGAGAUGUAUUUGAGGUGUAUGGCUCAUGAUCAAUCAAAAACAUGGGCAAAAUGGUUAUCCACUGCUGAGUGGUGGUAUAACACGACCUACCAUACAAACCUCAAUGUAAUCCCCUUCCAGGCUCUCUACGGAAACGCACCUCCUCAAUUUUUGGAUGCUAUUGAUUUUUCAUCAGCUUCACUAUAUGUGGAAGAAUUAUUGGCAGAAAGAGAAGAUAUGAAAAAGAUGAUUAGACAGCGACUCUUGAAGAUAUAAUCUCGACUGAAGGAAUAUGCUGAUAAAAAUCGCUGUGAAAGAAAUUUUAAAGAACAAUACUGGAUGCUAUUCAAACUACAACCGUACAAGUAAGAUACUGUAAAGCAAGUGAGAAGAUCCAAGUUAUCAUCGCACUUCUAUGGAUCAUUGCAAAUAAUACAGAUAAUUGGAUCAAUAGUUUCCAAGAAGUGUACUAAAGGAAGAGACAGUAUGAUAUAGAAUUUACCAGUCAAUAAAAGAGAGGUUGUACUCAGUGUUCAGGCCCAACAAGUACUGUAACACCAGGUCAUCAUGUAAGGAUCACUAAUCUGUGAAACAAGUGCCAAUGCAAUGGGAAAACACUACAACAGAAGAGUGUACUUGGGAAGACUAUGCGUAUCUACAACAAUAGUUUCUAUAUCUCAAUCUUGAGGACAAGAUUGAUACCGAAGCGAAGGGUAUUGUCAAGAAGCCGCCUCUGGUGGUCUACUACAAAAGGAAAAGGCAGAAAGGGGAACACAUAGGGGUAAAAUUGUCUUUUCAUGUGUACAAAUUAGGGUUGGAGUUGUU
rnacentral:lncRNA from 1 species